rnacentral:lncRNA from 1 species
CGGAAGGUCCACUCCUCCGAGCUCUUUUAGAUAGUAUGUUCCGGGCCAGACUACCUCCCUGACUUCAUACGGGCCUUCCCAGUUUGGGACAAGUUUCUCUUGGUUCUGAGGUUAUGAAACAGUGGCUCGCCGAAGUACUAAGUCCCCCACUCUGAAGGCUUUGCUCUUGAUCCGGGAGUUGUAGUAGCGGGCUGCUUUCUUCUUGUAGGCUGCCAUCCGAACUUGAGCGAUCUCUCACUUUUCUUCUAACAAGUC